UAAUACGUAGGGGGCCAGCGUUGUCCGGAUUUAUUGGGCGUAAAGCGCGCGCAGGCGGUUUGGCAGGUCACCCGUGAAAGCUCCUGGCUCAACUGGGAGGGGUCGGGUGAGCACCGCCAGGCUGGAGGGCGGCAGGGGGCAGCGGAAUUCCCGGUGUAGUGGUGGAAUGCGUAGAGAUCGGGAGGAACACCAGUGGCGAAGGCGGCUGCCUGGGCCGAGCCUGACGCUGAGGCGCGAAAGCGUGGGGAGCGAUCCGGAUUAGAUACCCGGGUAGUCCACGCCCUAAACGUUGCGGACUAGGUGUCGGGGGUAUCGACCCCUCCGGUGCCGGAGCGAACGCAUUAAGUCCGCCGCCUGGGGACUACGGCCGCAAGGCUA
rnacentral:rRNA from 1 species